AACGUAGGACGCAAGCGUUAUCCGGAGUUACUGGGCGUAAAGCGCGGGCAGGCGGUCGGUCAAGUCUGAUGUGAAAUCUCUCCGCUCAACGGGGAGCAGCCAUUGGAAACUGGUCGACUGGAGUCUGGCAGAGGUAGGCGGAAUUCCGGGUGGAGUGGUGAAAUGCGUAGAGAUCCGGAGGAACACCAGAGGCGAAGGCGGCAUCCUGGCCCUGUCCUGACGCUCAGGGGCGAAAGCGUGGGGAGCGAACAGG
rnacentral:rRNA from 1 species